CGAGCACGGUGGCUUUCCGGCUUCCCAGGGCUGUGCAGGUAACGUGCGGAGCGAGGUGCCUGCUUUCCCUGUGUGACACGCACACUGUCCACCCCAGGGGUUCUUUGGAUCUACCUCCUCUCUGCCUCAGCUAGGUAGCCUUUUGUAUUAUUCUGUUCAGGAUGUCCAGAGAAACAGCGGCCUUGGCCUGUCGUGCUCCAAAAGGACAAAGUGGGCUCAGCUUUGUGAAAACUGAAGAGAAAGAUGGUGUUUGGAAGCAGGACUUUGGUUUCCAGGGACACCUCCAGAGCCAGGAGGUUUUCC
rnacentral:lncRNA from 1 species